rnacentral:rRNA from 1 species
UACGGGGGGGGCAAGCGUUGUUCGGAAUUACUGGGCGUAAAGGGCUCGUAGGCGGCCAACUAAGUCAGACGUGAAAUCCCUCGGCUUAACCGGGGAACUGCAUCUGAUACUGGAUGGCUUGAGAUUGGGAGAGGGAUGCGGAAUUCCAGGUGUAGCGGUGAAAUGCGUAGAUAUCUGGAGGAACACCGGUGGCGAAGGCGGCAUCCUGGACCGACACUGACACUGAGGAGCGAAAGCCAGGGGAGCAAACGGG